rnacentral:rRNA from 1 species
CAAGCUUUGAUCCGUGGAUUUCCGAAUGGGAAAACCCAACCGUCACUCUCGAGUGACGGGUAUCAUUAUCUGAAUACAUAGGAUAGUGAAGUAAACCCUGGGAAUUGAAACAUCUUAGUACCAGGAGGAAAAGAAAACAAUUUACCCCCACACUAAUUUUUUGUAAAUUUAUUUUGCUAGAUAGUUUGUUAUAAGCAGGGUAUUUUUAUGGAAAUUGGUGUGGGGGUUAUAGUGAUUCCGUCAGUAGUGGCGAGCGAACGCGGAAUAGCCUAAAACCUGUCGCCCUCGGGCGACGGGUGGUUGCGAGACAACGCAACUCGUUUAAUCGGGAUCUAAAUAUUUUUCUUAAUAGAACACUUUGGAAAAAGUGGCCAUAGAAGGUAAUAGCCCUGUAUGUGAAAAGAAAAGUGUUGUGAUGGUAUUGUUCUCAAGUAGGGCAGGACCGGUGAAAUCCUGUCUGAAUCCGGGAGCACUAAACUUCCAAGGCUAAAUAUUGCUUCAGAUCGAUAGUGAACUAGUACCGUGAGGGAAAGGUGAAAAGCAUCCCGAUGAGGGAGGUGAAAUAGUACCUGAAACCAUACGCUGACUCAGAGUCGGAGCCGAUUUAUCGGUAACGGCGUGCUUUUUGCAGAACGAGCCAACGAGUUAAUUCUAUGCGGCUUACAUAAGCUACUUUUGUAGAAUAUGUAUAGUGAAAGCGAGCUUUAAAAGGCGACUUGUCGCAUGGAUUAGACCCGAAACCAGGCGAGCUACAUAUGAGCAGGGUGAACCUCGAGUAACAUCGAGGGGAGGCCCGAACCCACCAGUCGUUCAACACUGGGGGAUGACUUGUGUGUAGAGGAGAAAUUCCAAUCGAGCUUGGCAAUAGCUGGUUCUCUCCGAAAUAGCUUGAGGGCUAGCGUCUUGUUAUUGGACAUAAGAGGUAGAGCUACUGAAUGAGAAUUCGCGGUUCGCCGUAGGGUUCCCAACCAAACUCCGAAUUCUUAUGUUUUUAUCAAGGCAGUCAGAAAUCCGGCUCUAAGGUCGGAUCUCAAAAGGGAAACAGCCCAGAUCAUAAUCUAAGGUCCCUAAAUCCAUAUUAAGUGAUUGUAAGGAGGUAAAGUUUCUUAUACACCUAGGAGGUUGGCUUAGAAGCAGCCAUCCUUUAAAGAGUGCGUAACAGCUCACUAGUCUAGAGAUUUUGCGCCGAAAAUGUAUUGGGGCUAAAUAUGGUACCGAAGAUAUGAGUCCAUGGGACAUACACUAAGAAAACGAAGAUAAAACGAAACUAACUAAAAAAUAUUAGUUUCAUUAGUGUUAAUAUUCGUUAAUUUAGUGUAUGCCCUGUGGGCGGUAGGAGAGUGUUCUAUGUGCUGCGAAGUUUUGCUGUGAGGCAGGAUGGAGCGCAUAGAAGUAAGAAUGUUGGCAUGAGUAACCACAAUGCGGGUGAGAACCCCGCACACCGAAAGUCCAAGGUUUCCUGGGCAAUGUCGAUCAUCCCAGGGUUAGUCGGGCCUAAGGCGAGGCCGAAAGGCGUAGUCGAUGGACACACGGUUAAUAUUCCGUGACUACAAUAGUAUUCGAUGGAGUGACGUGUUCUAGUAUAUUUUGCGUCUUAUUGGAUUGACGUAAUUAUUUUGAGGGUGUCUUGCAGGCAAAUCCGCAAGAUAUAGCCCAAGAAAUAGUUGGAACCCCGCCUCGGCGGGGGAACGAAAUAAAGCAGGGCACCAGGAAAAACUUCUAAGGCUAGUACUGUUGUAUCCGUACUGCAAACCGACACAGGUGGACUGGGCGAGUAGCCCAAGGUGAACGAGAGAACCUUCGUUAAGGAACUCGGCAAAAAAGCUAGAUGUAAGUUAGCGAGAUAUCUUUCCGCUCAACUUUCUGAAUUGUAAUGCGAUUUAAAGUAUGUAUUUACACUUAUGUCUUAUUUUGCCAAAAAAUAAAAAGUAUAUUACGUUUUAAAAAGAAUUUGAGGCGUAAAUUAAAAGAGCACAGAAACCACGUUAGGAAAUUAUUAAAUAAUUAUUUAUCUGAUGAUAAAUAGUAUUCAGAAAGUUGAGCGGACGCAGCUAAAGUAUCCCAGGCGACUGUUUACCAAAAACACAGGUCUCUGCAAACCCGUAAGGGGAAGUAUAGGGGCUGACGCCUGACCAGUGCUGGAACGUUAACGGGAGCGGUGCAAGCCAAUCCCCGAAGCGCCAGUGAACGUCGGCAAUAACUAUAAUUGUCCUAAGGUAGCGAAAUUCCUUGUCGGGUAAAUUCCGACCCGCAUCAAAGGCGUAACGACUUGGGAACUGUCUCGACGAAGGACUCGGUGAAAUCGCAGUGACGGUGAAGAUGCCGUCAACCUACGGCAAGACGAAAAGACCCCGUGGAGCUUUACUAUAGCUUGGCAUUGGAUUAGAGUUUUGGUUGCCGAGAAUAGGUGGGAGACUUUGAAGUCUCGUUUCAGGACGAGGUGGAGUCAUCAGUGGAAUACCACCCUGCUAGAGUUUUAAUUCUAACCCUAGACCGUUAAGAGCUAAGAAGAUAGGGAAGAAGCAAUGAACUGAUCAUAAAAUUUCAAGUAAAGUAAGGUAAAACAAGGGCAAGUCAAUAUUUUUUAUAUUGAAUUGUCUUUUUAUGAUUGAUUCGUUCUUCUAAAUUCAUACCCUAUUCAUUCUUACUUCUUACCGGUCUGGGAACAGUGCCUGGUGGGUAGUUUGACUGGGGCGGUCGCCUCCCAAAUGGCAACGGAGGCGUUUACAAAGGUUGGCUAAGUCCGGAUGGAAAUCGGGCUGAUAGUGUAAAAGCAUAAGCCAGCUUUACUGAAAGACCCAUAAGUCAAUCAGUUACGAAAGUAGAAUUUAGUGAACCGACUGUCGCUUGUAGGAGCGCAGAAGAUCAUCAGAUAAAAGUUACCCCGGGGAUAACAGGCUGAUUCCUCCCAAGAGUCCAUAUCGACGGAGGAGUUUGGCACCUCGAUGUCGGCUCAUCACAUCCUGGGGCUGGAGAAGGUCCCAAGGGUUUGGCUGUUCGCCAAUUAAAGUGGUACGCGAGCUGGGUUCAAACCGUAUAGGAGUUAUAAAGUAGAAAGUUUGUAAAGUUUAUAAAGUAAAGUAUAAAAAAUUUGACUUUAUGAACAUUAUAACUUUAAAAGCUUUUGACUUUUGUACUGUUUGAGUCCGAGGUUUAGACAUCAUCAUGGCGGCGUAUAGCAGAGAUGUUAUGCGAGAAAUUAGCUUAUAUCGGUAAAAUCCAUACUCUUAUUUAUGGACAAUACCGAGGGAACCCCGGCGUUACGUCGGAGGCCCGUAGAGACUAAACGCUAAUCAUCCUAUUUUUAAAAAUAAAAAGGAUGAAUUUAUAGUCCAAUGCACAUAGUAAUAUGUGGUAACAUGCGUGAGACAGGUUGGUCUCUAUCUGCCGUAGGCGUCAUUACUUGAGAGGACUUUUUCCUAGUACGAGAGGACCGGAAAGAACGAACCUCUGGUGUAUCGGCUGUUCCGCCAGGAGCAUUGUCGAGUAGCUAAGUUCGGAAGAGAUAACCGCUGAAAGCAUCUAAGCGGGAAGCUCACCUCAAGAUUAAGUAAUAUUCGUUCGCAU